ensembl:miRNA
UAAUCUUAGAAAUCAAGAAUGGGUGGAGCCUGUUAAAUUAUUUUAGGCGACCCAUACUUGGUUUCAAGGGUUAACAGGGAA